GCCAGCUGCCUCGGCUAUAAUUAGAGGGGAGCCGCGGCCUUGAUCCCUGCCGAGCCUGAUCCCUCGCGCCCCCCGCCGGCGUUCCUGGGAGGAAUGUGCGGGCGCGAGGCCGUGCGUCGCCGCCAGCGCGCUCCCUGGACGGUCACCGCGUGGUGGACCAAAUAAAGUAAAAGGUCUGGCUCCUGCUGAGCGAGGCCGAACAAGCGAUCCGGGAGCCAGCCCAGGGGUGUGGCGAGCCCUCGGCUGCCCAGAAAAGAUCAAACGCGCGUCGGCAACAGCCGUGCCUGCCUCCUGCGAGGGUCCUUGGCGCGGGCCAAGCCGUACAGGGUGGAUUUGUCUUAAGUUGGAGAUGGCGCAUGACAGGAGCGGCCCCAAAUGUCACUCCCUUUUUGGAAAUCAUGAUGCUGCCUUUUUUUUUUUUUUUUUUUUCUUUUUAAAGACUGUGGCUAUAAUAAGGCAAAUGUUCCAUGCUGGUGGAGUAAGCACUCAUGCUUAAGGGGCAACUGUAUUAGCAAAAAACACUGAUGCACGGCGCACGUUAAUACAAAUGUAUUUAGUAAGUAAAUCUCAGGCUGUGCUCCUAUGGGUACUAGCAAGCCAGAUAAAGUCUGGAACAACUGACUGCUGAAGGGGAGUUGUCUUUUUAGAGGAAAACUUAUACCUUAGAAAAAAAUUUUUUCUACUAGUGGGCCCUUGAGGUGCCACCAAUUAAUUAACUUCUAAUUUUUGUUAAUUAUUGAAUUUAAUACUCUGUAGCAGUAUCUUCCAAAAUAAUAAUAAUAAGCAUGAGCCCAUCCUUUUAACAAAAUGACUCUUCAUUACUAGCCUUGGAGCGGGGGACCUAGGAACUUCACUGUGAUCUAAGAGUUGUUUAACAUUUUCAGUCAUUGUUUAAAAGGGGAUUGCAAUAGAUGGACAGGAAUCUAAAAAAAAUAAAUAAAUCCUUGCUCCAGGGUUAAGAAUACCUAGACACAACCCUCCUAAAAGACUUCCUUCAUCAACAUAUUUUUCUUUCUAGAUAACAGGCACAAAAACCAUUAUAGAAGCUUGAGAUGGAAAUCAUACAAAACAGUCCACUCCUUAUAUAUUUUAUCGAGGAACCUGGAAGCCUUUUCGGUGGAAAUUCAAUUCCUAGGAAGUUAUUCUGACUGGAGCCUGUUUGUCUUGAUACAGCAGAACUGUACUCACAGCCUGCUCUGCUCCUUCACAAAGCUCUUUGAGGGGAAACUAUGCUGAGAGAUACAAAUUCAAGUUUUUGUGAAAACACACCUCAGAAUUGUCCAGUUCUAUCCCAGGAACUCGUUCAGGGUCUCUGGGACCAACAUUGGCUGAGUUGAGUGUCAGCCCCGUACCAGACUGCACUGAUCAUCGUUGAUCUGCAUGUUUGCUGAGGGUUUGAAGACUUCAGUGGAAUUAGGUGGACGACUUGAGUUGCAAGCAGUAAACGAAAAGAGAUGGUGUGUGCAAGAAUGAGAGCUUGGAGAGGAAGAAUCACAGGAGAAGAACCAACAUUGGUCAGAGUCAUCCAUUCAUUCACUCGCUUCACUUAUUCUUUCUCUCUAUAAAUCUAUUUCAUGGUAAAGUAUGUGGGCUCUGGAAUCAGACUGUUUAAGCUAAAAUUCCAGCUCCCACUGUUUUUAACCUUUAGGAUUUAACCCUCCAACCUCCAUUUAAUUAUCUGUGAAAUGGGUUAAGGAUAUUACUUCCCUCGUGGAGUUGUUGAGGGGACGAAUUGACAGGAGUAUAUAAGGUGCAUACUAUGAUGUCUGGCGCAUAAUAAAUGUGUCAUAAUGGUGAGUGGCAUAUUGGACUCUCAGUAAAUAGUUGUUAAAGGAAUCCAUUUAGUCUCUAAUCUUAAUGAGGAAACUGUGGUGAAAAAUAAGAACCAUAAAAAUGUGUUUAUAAGAUAACAGUGAAAACAGGGUUAGCCUACAUGAGGAGAAGUUACCCAGAAAGGUUGUACCGAGGAGGAAGCUGAGUGGGGCCAGUCACAGAGCAGGGCCCGCCAACGGGACUGGGGCGAAGAGCAAGCACGGGGAUCCUGCAGACGCUGUGGAGCCCAGUUAGGAUUCUGCGCUUCCAAUACAGAAGCCGCAGGUUCAAUCCCUGGUCUGGGAACUAAGGUCCCAUGUGCUGUGGGGUGAGGCCAAAAGAUUAAAAAAAGGCAAAAGUGGGGGCUGGCUGCACUCACUCCAGCUUGCCACCUCCUCCUGGCAGGGGAAGAGAGAGGAAGACAGCCUGACUCACCUGCAGCUCCCAGGUGGUCUUAGAAGCUGGUUAGUGGCAGUUUCAACAGCCAUACUUUUGCUGUGAGAGUCCACUCAGAACAGGUCGAAGUGGUUAAAGACAUAACUGUCUUCAUUCCAAACCUGGCUCCACCCCAACUUGGCUAUGCCCUCAGACAAGUUUCCAGAUGUCACUAAACCUCAGCCUCCUCAUCUGUAGAAUGGCAAGAAAAAUAGUACCUAUUUCCUAAGUCUCUUGUGAGGGCUAAGUGAUUUGUAAAGUUUCCUUGGGAUAGUCACAUAAUAAACAUAGUGUCCAAUUAUUCUGAAACCGGGAGCAUCAGAGGGCGGGGAGAGUGAUCCCUUCAUCCCCUCAUCCUUCGGCCAGCACCUGAGACCUCACCACUCAGGUCUUUCCCAUGGGUCCUCUAUUUCUGGAAUCCCUCUGAUUGUCCUUUAUUUUGACUAUGCUGGGUUUUCGUUGCAGAGCGCGGGGGCUACUCUCUAAUUGUGGUGUGCGGGCUUCUCGUUGUGGUGGCUUCUCUUGUUGUGGCGCGUGGGCUCUAGGUGCAUGGGCUUCAGUAGUUGCAGCUUGGAGGCUCAGUAGUUGAGGCUCACGGGCCCUAGAGCAUGCAGGCUUCAGUAGUCAUGCCACACUGGCUUAAUUGCUUCUCGGCAUGUGGAAUCUUCCCUGACCGGGGAUGGAACACAGAUUCCCUGCAUUGGCAGGUGGAUUUUUAUCCACUGGGCCACCAGGGAAGUCCCUGAUACUCCUUCUUUAAAUGGUUAUUGAAACCUUCCCAGACUCCAGAGUUUUCUAUCCAAGCCCCUACUCCAUGGACCCCUCCCCUGUCACUCUCGAUGGGAAUGUGGAUUUCCAACAUUUUGUCCAUUCUUGUGCCUACAAACUCUGCCCAUCAGGCUUCUGCUGCAAGUCGUCAGGGCCCUCCUCUGCCUGGCUUCUACUGGUCCCAUCCAUCCUUGGCCCUGAGGGAGUAAAGGAAGGAAGGCCACUGUAUUCUAGGGGCCAGAGAGAGCGUGGCUUGGAGACAUCUAUAGAUGCUUCAGUUCUGAUUCUGGUUCUCUCUAGCAACAAGGGUUAAGGCCAGUUUUAUCCUAAAUUAACUAACGUAGAAUUAUGUACACAAACAUGUGCCAUAAGCUCCAAAGUAGCAUAAAGAUGCUGACUUUUACCUAACUUGGAUCCCUCUACCUAUAGAAGAUUUACCUUAGUCAUGAAUUCAGGAACUUACUUCCCCUUUCGUUUAAUUUCUAAAAAUAUCAAGACUGAGACUAGUUUCUGGAUAACAUCACUGAUUAACUUUUCUCUGGCUGUCUAUGAAGUGUUUAUCCAAGACUUUCCCCUAAAUCUCAGGCUCAUCUUCAGGAUGCAGCCUUGUCUAGAAGCAGGUUCUCCUGGCUUUGGCGCAGUUACAGUUCACUGGGUCACAUUUCUGUCCUGCCUUGAAGAACUGCCAUGGUCAGGUGUGUGCCUUGAGGUCCAUGAUCAGAGCCAGGAAGUCAAAGGUCCCAGGAGAAAUGCAGAGUCCUUCCUGCAAGGCUGAUGGGAGCGGGGCGGGGGCUAUGGGUGAGCCUCCCUUCCCUCUGGUUCCCAUUGGAAGGCCACAAGAGGCAGAGCAGUCAGAGUUUAUAUGCCUAAGGAGGCUGACUACUUUGGGCAGAUCUGACAAGACUGGAAGUACCCGUGGUGCUACAACAUGGAAGGUACAGUGAAGGAGGCUUGUAAACUGUCUUAUUUCAGUGUGGGCUAAAAACUUCAUGUGGGAUAAUUCACAUGGGAGCUGCUGCCUGGCUGCUUUCCCUUGAGCUAUAAUAAAUGUAUUUAUAAGUCACCAUGGUGGCUGAGCUUGGCAGGCUGAAACUCAGGCAGAGUAUCUUUGUUGUUGUCUUGAGAAUUCCUUCUUCAGGAAACCCCAGUCUUGGCUUUUGAGGCCUUCCCCUGAUUGGAUGAGGCCCACCCACAUUAUGGAGAGCAACCUGCUUUACUCAUGGUCUACUGAUUUCAGUGCUAAUCAUAUCCAAAAAGUACCUUCACAGCAACAUCAGGACUGGGUGAGCCUGUGGAUGAACUGCCCUUCACUUGGCCAAAUAACUGGGUACCAUGGUCUAGUCAAGUUGACAUGUAAAUAACUUCCCGAGUUUUUUUCGCCUCCUCUGGCUGUCCCAGGUUGUGAUGCUUCUAUCGGUGAUGAUGCUUUCAAAUGCAAAGUCACAAAAACAAUCUAUUCAAACAGGAUUCAACUCUAAGGGGAACUUAUUGGCUCUUGUAACUGAAGAAUCCACAGCAGACCAGAUUGAGGUCUGACUCACUUCAGCCUAGAAAACAAAAGCAUUGGAAGCCGUCUUACAGAACAGAAAACUGAGGCAGAGAAGUCUAGAGAAUUGCUUCAAGUUACAGGGAUCUUUCGGACCCAGGAAUCGAACUCAAGUCUUCUGCAUUGCAGGUGGAUUCUUUACAGACUGAGCCACCAGGACCUUCAAGUUGCAAAAUUCCAAAGAUGCUAAUACUCAGAAUUUAAACAUCGGACACUGAAUGGGCAGAACCUUGGCCCACCCCUGAGUGCCCGGGGCAUGUUGCCAGCACCGAGAGUUCGAGUUUCUGCCCAGUAGGCUUGUAACCUGAACUUUCUGUUUCUAAAAUCCCAGUUCUUAGUAGCCAGCACACAUUUUGAGCCACAAAAUUCUGAGAAUUAUUGCACUUGUCAGCUGCUAAGUCACAUGCCCUUCAGCCUGGUCCCUUUCACUGGUAUAACCGUACUUCUGUUAGAGACUAUGAAUUUCACUGUCACAUAAAAAUUGGCAUCUCUUUUAAUACCACCCAGGGCUUGCCAUAAUCAGCCAGAAAUAUACCGUUGGGCUUGUCAUAAUUCAUCAAUUUUCAGGAUCCCUCAGGAACUCCAAAUACAAUGACUGAUAGCAAAUUAAUGGAUCCUCCCAUUUAACUUCAUUAAAGGACUGACCCCAUGAUGAAAAUUUAGUUUAAUUAGGAUAAUAUCUCAUAUUUAAAGCGCCUCAAAGCCAGGAAGACCACAGAUCUUCUCUCUUAAUUUUUAGAACAACACUAUGUGUCACUUAGAGCCAAGCUUAGUGAACAUGUGUGUUUGUUCCCAUUUCAUGGAUGAGAAGAAUUUGCUCAUGUUGACAAGUAAAAUAACAAUUACAGAGUUAGGAGCCAGG